rnacentral:lncRNA from 1 species
GUUAGUGAAAUUCAAAUGGUGGAAUUUCACUAACAUAGACUUUAUAGUAAUCACAAAUAUCUGAUUUUCACAUUCCUAGAGACCAUCAAAAUCUCAGGUACUGGCACUUCUUUCAUAUGGGGUUGUCAUUGCUCUGUCAUUGCCAAGAGGCAAAUUAAUUCUUUAGUCACCCAUUUCCAAAAGGCAAUAGGUUUUACACGGACCUGUAUCACAAGAUCCCUUGUAGAGCUAACAACAGGUGUUGUAUAGGUCAUACAACAUGCUCCCCCAGAUUACUCCAUC